UACGUAGGGGGCAAGCGUUGUCCGGAUUUAUUGGGCGUAAAGCGCGUGUAGGCGGCCAGGUAGGUCCGUUGUGAAAACUCGAGGCUCAACCUCGAGACGUCGGCGGAAACCCUCUGGCUAGAGUCCGGAAGAGGAGAGUGGAAUUCCUGGUGUAGCGGUGAAAUGCGCAGAUAUCAGGAAGAACACCCGUGGCGAAGGCGGCUCUCUGGGACGGUACUGACGCUGAGACGCGAAAGCGUGGGGAGCAAACAGG
rnacentral:rRNA from 1 species